AGCCCUAAUUGGAAAAUUCAAGUUGAAUCUGAGAACUGAGAAGUGAGAAUCGUCCGCCGCACUCUUCCUCCCUCUAACCCUAAUCCCUUCACCAACUCCAUCCUCAGUCCGUCGCCGGUCGCCGGUCCAACCCCCCUCCAGCCGUCGCCCCUCCAGCUCCGGUCGCCUCUCUUCAUCCGGUCGCCUCCCCUGCUCCUGUCGCCCCUUCAGCUUUCACGCCGUCGUGUUCAUUCUCUCCACACUUCACAGCUCGGCCUCCAACUCCAGAUUUUGUGAAUUAAAUUUCAGAUUAGUAGAUGAAAAAAGUGUUGAGUAUCUUGUUUGUGGUCAAAAUUGGCUUCGCAAGUCUUCCAAGUUUAGUGUUGAAGAAAUUCUUGAAGAUGUCCAAAAGAUAGAAGAAGGUAUUGCAUUGAUGUCUACUCAAGAUUCAACAAAUUAAUCAAUCUCCAUUAUUUGUUGAAACUUGCACUUGUUGGACAAUAUUGAAGACUUUGUCAUGGAACUUCAUUUUGGUUUUAUUUUGAUGUAAUAUGUUGGAACUUAGACAUUUUGGUUGAUGUUUUUUGUUGUGGAAUAUUGAUUGCAUUGUUGGUUGAUGCUUUAUGGAUUAUGGAUAUUAUUAUUGUUAUGUUUUGUAGGUUGAAAAUUUCUAAGUUACUGUUAUUCUGUUUUGUUUUUUUUUCCUCCAGAUUUCGGUUUUUAUUUUUGG